AGUUAAUAAGUUUUAAAAAACAUAUAUUUUGAAAAUAUAAGAAAGAAGUUUAAAUCUUCUAUUGACUU
rnacentral:tRNA from 1 species